AGAGAAGUUAAAUAACUGGCCCACAGUCCCACAGCAAGUGGCGAAGGGGUCUUUCUUUGUCUGUUCCUUCCUUUCUUCCACUUCCCACUCCUUCAGCAAAGACAAUGUGGUGCAAGAGAAAGGAAGAGUUUGUGGAUGAAUCGGGCAGGAAAUCAGUAGGCCCUAGCCUUCCUCAGUCACCUGAUGCAGCAUUUGGACUCUGCGGCCCUGAUGGACUUUGUGAGACACAACAGAGUAGAGCUACACCAUCUUUAAGCCUCUCCAGUUCUACAAUCCCAUGAACCCCAUGAGGUCUAUAAACAAG
rnacentral:lncRNA from 1 species